rnacentral:lncRNA from 1 species
GUCCUAGAAACUUCCCAGCUGCGUGACCCUGGGGCCCUUCCUGAGCCUGGCAGCCACCUUAUUGGAGGAGAGGGCGGCGCUGAGCUGUAUCCAACCUCUGAGGCACGUGGGCACAGCAGAAUGAAUGUGAGUAGAGGAAAAGGCCUUUCCUUCCUCCUCAGGGUGCAUGUCAGGGGUGGGCAGGAAGGAGUGGCUGAGGUGAGGGGGCA